AAGUCGUAACAAGGUUUCCGUAGGUGAACCUGCGGAAGGAUCAUUAAAAAUAAAAAAAUCUUUUAGAUUUUGUUUGUUUUUUUUUUUUUUUUUACAAUCUAUUUCCUUCUUUGUCUACUGUAGUGUCUCUUAUCUGCUGUAUGGCAAGGUUGGGAAAGUAAAUGACUAAUUGAGAGAUGGCUUGUGGAGUGGAAAAAAAUAAAUUUUUUAUUUAUUUUCUAAUCUACAUUCUUUCUCAGAAUCCGAAUAAAUCUUUAUAAUUAUCUUAUAACUUUCAACAACGGAUCUCUUGGUUCUC
rnacentral:misc_RNA from 1 species